rnacentral:tRNA from 1 species
GCCUCUGUAGCUCAGUUGGUUAAAGCGUUGCUCCGGAAUCGCAGGGCCGAAGGUUCAAUUCCUACCAGAGGAC